rnacentral:rRNA from 1 species
AUAGCGUAUAUUAAAGUUGUUGCGGUUAAAAAGCUCGUAGUUGAACCUUGGGCCUAGCCGGCCGGUCCGCCUCACCGCGUGCACUGGCUCGGUUGGGCCUUUCCUUCUGGAGACCCCCAUGUCCUUCACUGGGUGUGGUGGGGAACCAGGACUUUUACCGUGAACAAAUCAGAUCGCUUAAAGAAGGCCUAUGCUCGAAUGUAUUAGCAUGGAAUAAUGGAAUAGGACGUGUGGUUCUAUUUUGUUGGUUUCUAGGACCGCAGUAAUGAUUAAUAGGGAUAGUUGGGGGCAUUAGUAUUCCGUUGCUAGAGGUGAAAUUCUUGGAUUUACGGAAGACUAACUUCUG